rnacentral:rRNA from 1 species
AGCCAAGUAGCGUGCAGGAAGACGGCCCUCCGGGUUGUAAACUGCUUUUAGUUGGGAAUAAAACGGGGCUCGUGAGCCCCCUUGCAUGUACCAUCAGAAAAAGGACCGGCUAAUUCCGUGCCAGCAGCCGCGGUAAUACGGAAGGGCCGGGCGUUAUCCGGAUUUAUUGGGUUUAAAGGGAGCGCAGGCGGACCUUUAAGUCAGCUGUGAAAUACGGCGGCUCAACCGUCUGAACUGCAGUUGAUACUGGAGGUCUUGAGUACGCACACAGGGAUGCUGGAAUUCAUGGUGUAGCGGUGAAAUGCUCAGAUAUCAUGAAGAACUCCGAUCGCGAAGGCAGGCAUCCGGGGUGCAACUGACGCUGAGGCUCGAAAGUGCGGGUAUCAAACAGGAUUAGAUACCCUGGUAGUCCGCACAGUAAACGAUGAAUACUCGCGGUUUGCGAUACAAUGUAAGCCGCCAAGCGAAAGCGUUAAGUAUUCCACCUGGGGAGUACGCCGGCAACGGUGAAACUCAAAGGAAUUGACGGGGGCCCGCACAAGCGGAGGAACAUGUGGUUUAAUUCGAUGAUACGCGAGGAACCUUACCCGGGCUUGAACUGCCAGCGGCGGAUGCAGAGACGCAUCUUUCUUCGGACGCUGGCGGAGGUGCUGCAUGGUUGUCGUCAGCUCGUGCCGUGAGGUGUCGGCUUAAGUGCCAUAACGAGCGCAACCCUCAUCCUCGUUUGCCAUCAGGUGAUGCUGGGCACUCCGGGGAC